rnacentral:rRNA from 1 species
UACAGAGGUGGCAAGCGUUGUUCGGAAUUACUGGGCGUAAAGGGCGCGUAGGCGGCCCACUAAGUCAGACGUGAAAUCCCCCGGCUUAACCUGGGAACUGCGUCUGAUACUGGAGGGCUUGAGUAUGGGAGAGGGAUGUAGAAUUCCAGGUGUAGCGGUGAAAUGCGUAGAUAUCUGGAGGAAUACCGGUGGCGAAGGCGGCAUCCUGGGACCAUUACUGACGCUGAGGCGCGAAAGCUAGGGGAGCAAACGGGG